AUUUGUUAAUACUGCUAACAUAUUAUAUAGGAACACACUGUCAUCCAAGCAGCUCUCAAUAUCAUACAUGAGGCAUAGAUACUUUAACAUACAGAGAGAAAGGUAUUUUUGUUUAAUAUUAAUUUUAGUUGAUAUGACAUAAAAAUAAACAUAAUUGGACCACUAUAUCCAUCAAUCCCCCAAAUAAAUGUAAUUUAUGGUCUUGAUUAAGUUGUAAUUAUAUUGUAUUACAAAG